AGCAGUUUCAGCUUAGAACUAGCUAUUACCAAUAAAGCUGCUACAUUCCCAGCCCUUGGGAGGCCAUGUUUUCAUUUCUUGGAUAUUUAGGAGAUUUGCCAGGUUAUAGGGUUCUAUCUGGGCAAUUUGAUUUAGAAUCUUGUGACAUCUAUAAGCUCAAAAGAAGACACAUAGAAGAAUUAAGCUUAUUUCCACUUCAUUCAUCCAUCUGAAAAUUCAAACCAUUACAGAAAACUGCAACUGGACACUAUUCAGAGAUGAAUGGAUUGAGGGGAGUUUGGCCCCAAUGGAUGCAUCUACAUCACAGUUCCCACAUUUAUGGCUUAGAGAAGAUGACAGAAGUGAAGGCAGGAAGACUGUAAGAGCCACAAUACCAAAACGUCUACAUGGAAAUGACUGCACAA